rnacentral:lncRNA from 1 species
CGUGGAUAUCCUUUUUCAAAAACGAUUUUGACUAUAACUGAUCCGCGAACGGAGAUUCCGGCUAAGGAAUUCUGUUGAUCGAGAGGAAAGUGUUAGGCACCCCUUAAUCCCAUGGUUUGACCACGGUCGCUUGGUAGAGCGUAUAGACUAAUUUGAUACUACGAAUAUAUAAACCACACAAUGUACGCAAAACAAUCAAUCAAGCAAAACAAAACAAUCCAAAAUUUAGUGUUCAGUCCAAUUAUACAAUUCCAAAAUAGAAAAAUGCGAAAAUAUAAACCUACUCUAUUCUAGGCUAUUCCUAACUACGCUCCAUUGCUUUCUCCACCCGAUGCUCCGUGCCUUGAUCGUGCGCCGUCUUCAAGUACAUGAUACUUCGGGACAUUCCCCGAAUAAAUCAAUAUAAAUCCCUCUAGGUAUUCCCCGGCCAAAUGAAUACAAUAGAUUCCAAUGCAUAAAUCAAAAUCACUCCACAAAUAUUUCAUCAUUCAACAAUCAUAGAUCCUAAACUUUGCCUACUCAACCUACCUAAUAAUCCACAUUUACCUUAUCAAUCUUCCAUUCCCACCCUCAAAUUCAUUUCAACCAACAUAAUUAAACAAGGCUCAAUUAAAUAAACCGAUCAAACUAUGAUAAUUAAAGAGGCUCAAACACACUGUCAAAAAUUAACCAUCAAACUCAAACAUGAACCACACAAAUCAAGGACAUCAUCACAGAUAAAAUGGGAAGAGAUAGAGUUAAAGAAUUUGGACCUCAAUUUUAUUUCAAAUCAGAUCGUUCGACUGAAGCCGUUUCACGGACUCAACGAAUCUCGACUCUACAACCCGUUAGCCCUCGAAUAGAAUCAAUUCAGCCACAAAAUGAAACCCCGAUAAAUAUCCAAAAUUGAAACUGAGAAAAGAAGAAGGUCACAAUCCCGAAUGACGAUUUAGUGGUCGGAACUGACGCUAGCCAGUGGGAUUUGACCAAAAAAUAAGAGGCACGAGCUUAGAACGUGAUUUCAGAUCGUAAUAGAGCCGGUGGUACUGUUUUCCGUCAGAUUUCGUCGGAAUAGUAGCCAGGCCAUGGCUAUUGACGUUGGGGCAGUGAUUCCGGUGGAUCUCCGGCGAUAACCCACCGGAGAAAAUACCUCUUACCUCAAUUUCGUUUUCGUCUCAGCUUUUCUCUCUCGAUUUUCUCCAAUCUCUCUCUCUCGUCUCCCUAUUCUCACGCCAUUUCAGUGGAUGUGUGUGUGAUUGUGCGUUUUCACUGAGAGAGUGCAUUUUUCGGUGAGAUGUGAGUGUGUGUGCGUAACUGAUAUGUGGAUCUGUGUGUGUUCAGUGUUUAUCGGUGAGGGUAUGUUUAUGGUGGUGUGCGACGGUGAGAGGAUUGUGAGAGUGGUGCGUGAAUUCUGUUUUUUUCUCUAGAAAAAUGAAAAUGGAAAAUGAUGGUCAGUUUUCUUAUGGAGAGGAUGAGAUGACGAUGAUAAUGAAAAAAAUAG